GAUGAACGCUAGCGACAGGCCUAACACAUGCAAGUCGAGGGGCAGCACAUGAGUAGCAAUACGAUGGUGGCGACCGGCGCACGGGUGAGUAUCGCGUAUGCAACCUACCUUCCACCGGGGGAUAGCCUUCCGAAAGGGAGAUUAAUACCGCAUAAAACAGGGGCCCCGCAUGGGGAUCUUUGUUAAAGAUUUAUCAGUGGGAGAUGGGCAUGCGUUCCAUUAGCUAGUUGGCGGGGUAAUGGCCCACCAAGGCAUCGAUGGAUAGGGGAACUGAGAGGUUUAUCCCCCACACUGGAACUGAGACACGGUCCAGACUCCUACGGGAGGCAGCAGUGAGGAAUAUUGGUCAAUGGGCGGGAGCCUGAACCAGCCAAGUCGCGUGAAGGAAGACGGUUCUAUGGAUUGUAAACUUCUUUUGCACUGGGGUAAAACGGGGACGUGUCCCCCCUUGCAAGUACAGUGCGAAUAAGCAUCGGCUAACCCUGUGCCAGCAGCCGCAGUAA
rnacentral:rRNA from 1 species